AGCGAACGCUGGCGGCAGGCCUAACACAUGCAAGUCGAACGAACCCUUCGGGGUUAGUGGCGGACGGGUGAGUAACACGUGGGAACGUGCCUUUAGGUUCGGAAUAACUCAGGGAAACUUGUGCUAAUACCGAAUGUGCCCUUCGGGGGAAAGAUUUAUCGCCUUUAGAGCGGCCCGCGUCUGAUUAGCUAGUUGGUGAGGUAAAGGCUCACCAAGGCUACGAUCAGUAGCUGGUCUGAGAGGAUGACCAGCCACAUUGGGACUGAGACACGGCCCAAACUCCUACGGGAGGCAGCAGUGGGGAAUCUUGCGCAAUGGGCGAAAGCCUGACGCAGCCAUGCCGCGUGGAUGAUGAAGGUCUUAGGAUUGUAAAAUCCUUUCACCGGUGAAGAUAAUGACUGUAGCCGGAGAAGAAGCCCCGGCUAACUUCGUGCCAGCAGCCGCAGUAAUAC
rnacentral:rRNA from 1 species